rnacentral:rRNA from 1 species
AUGGGUGUCCGCGGCCAUGAACAAGAGGCAACAGGGGCAGCUUUCUCGGGGCGGAGUAGAGGAGGUCGGCGGGCGGCAGAGGUACGAUGGCGCGCCGGUAGCAGGAGACGAAGGCGGAGAAAUUCCAGUCAAGCGACGCGGAUGGACCGGAAGGUGGAGACGGCAUGCGAGGAGGGCCAUGGCGCGACUGCUUGCUGGUGGUGGGGAGCUCCGGCAACGACGAGCUGCAGGAGGCCAACCUUGAAGCGCCGUUGCUCAAGGCGAGGAGCAGGAGACGACACAGACGAAGGGGAGGCCGGAGGUGGCGCUGGCCCGCGGCAGCUCCAAGGCGACGAGCUUGGCGUGCCGGAGGUGGGACGGGGCCCUGACGGCGGGGUCCGGCAGGGACUGGGCAAGGGCGGCGGAGGCGGCCUGAUCUGA